AAUUAAUGAACUUGAGAUAAGUAUAUAUUUUGAAAAUAUAAAAAAGAAAUUCAAUUUUCUAUUAAUUU
rnacentral:tRNA from 1 species